rfam:Gossypium hirsutum cultivar TM-1 chromosome 19, whole genome shotgun sequence
CAUUAAAAAUUUCAUCAUUUGUUACUGUUAAAAAUUGUUGUGGUUGACAAAAUAAUCAGAUAAGUUACAUGUGGCAUGCCACGCGUACCUCAUUACGACAUGCAAGGACUAGUUUUUAACAGUAGAAAUGGAUGAAAAUUUUAACA